UACAGAGGGGGCAAGCGUUGUUCGGAAUUAUUGGGCGUAAAGGGCGCGUAGGCGGUGCGGUAAGUCACCUGUGAAAUCUCUGGGCUCAACUCAGAGUCUGCAGGCGAAACUGCCGUGCUUGAGUGUCGGAGAGGUAAGUGGAAUUCCUGGUGUAGCGGUGAAAUGCGCAGAUAUCAGGAGGAACACCGAUUGCGAAGGCAGCUCGCUGGAACGUUACUGACGCUGAGACGCGAAAGCGUGGGGAGCAAACAGG
rnacentral:rRNA from 1 species